GACGAACGCUGGCGGCGUGCUUAACACAUGCAAGUCGAACGGAAAGGCCCUGCUUUUGUGGGGUGCUCGUGUGGCGAACGGGUGAGUAACACGCGAGUAACCUGCCCUUGACUUUGGGAUAACUUCAGGAAACUGGGGCUAAUACCGGAUAGGAGAUCUUGCUGCAUGGUGGGGGUUGGAAAGUUUCGGCCGUUGGGGAUGGACUCGCGGCUUAUCGGCUUGAUGGUGGGGUAGUGGCUUACCAAGCCUUUGACGGGUAGCCGGCAUGGGAGGGUGACCGGCCACAUUGGGACUGAGGGACGGACCAGAAUCCUACGUGAGGCAGCAGUGGGAAAUAUUGCGCAAUGGGCGGAAGCCUGAUACAGCAGCGCCGCGUGCGGGAUGACGGCCUUCGGGGUAUAAACCGCUUUCGCCUGUGACGAAGCGUGAGUGACGGUAAUGGGUAAGGAAGCACCGGCUAACUACGUG
rnacentral:rRNA from 1 species